AAUAACUUACGGCCACGAGGUGCCGCCAUUUGAUUCUCAGGUGGCGGAGAAUUGGGAAGCCGGUGCAAAUCCGGCACUGCCCCCGCAACGGUAACGAAGGUCAGGCUCAGCAAUCAACCACUGGGAGGAGGAUCCCGGGAAGGUGCUGAGACCGGGCGCAAGCCCCUUCCAAGUCCGGAAACCAGCCUCGCUGAUAUGUCAAAC
rnacentral:ncRNA from 2 species